rnacentral:rRNA from 1 species
UACAGAGGUCUCGAGCGUUAGGCGGAAUCACUGGGCUUAAAGCGUGUGUAGGCGGGUCGUUAAGUACCUUGUGAAAUCCCAUGGCUCAACCAUGGAACUGCUUGGUAUACUGGCGAUCUUGUGCAACCUAGGGCGAGCGAACAGAUGGUGGAGCGGUGAAAUGCGUAGAUAUCAUCUGGAACGCCAAUGGUGAAAAACAGCUC